AGGUUUGGAACUAGGAUUCUUACAAAGAGGCAAAGGGCUUAUCUACAAGUUAAAAGAGAGCUUUUGGGAGGACUCACCGCUUUAAAGGUUGAGAGGAAUUAUUUGAUUGGAGCAAGUAUGGUUUUGGAAACAGAUUGUUUGCCAUUACUUGGAAUGAUAAUUAACUGAACUACUCCAGACAUUACUAUAUUAAGAUGGAUAGCCUAUAU
rnacentral:lncRNA from 1 species